UGGGGCUGUUUUGGGUCUAUUUGGGGCAGUUUGAGGUUAAUACAGGGCAGUUUGGGGCUAUUUUGGGGCAGUUUGGGGCUAUUUUGGGGCUAUUUGGGGUUAUUUUGGGGCUAUUUUGGGGCAGUUUGGGUCUAUUUGGGGCAGUUUGAGGUUAAUACAGGGCAGUUUGGGGCUAUUUUGGGGCUGUUUGGGGCUAUUUUGGGGCAGUUUGGGGCUGUUUUGGGUCUAUUUGGGGCAGUUUGAGGCUAUUUUGGGGUUAUUUGGGGGAGUUUAGGGCUAUUUGGGGGCAGUUUGGGGUUCUUUGGGGUUCUUUGGGAGCAGCUGGGCACUGCUUUGGUUCAAUGUGGGUCUUUUGAGGUUAAUUUAAGGCUAUUUGGGGAUGGAUGUGGUGUUUUUUUGGCUAUUUUGGGGCCAUUUGGAAGCAGGUCGGAACGGAUCCACGGUGCUUUGGUACGGAUUAAGGUGGCUUCAACCUAUUUUGGGACGGCUUGUAGCGAAUUUGGGGCCAUUUUGGGGCGGCUUGUAGCGAAUUUGGGGGCAUUUAGGGGCCAUUUUAGUGCGGCGGAACAAAAUGGCGGCGACACCACAAGACGGCGGCCAUGUUGGGACCGCAGAACAAAAUGGCGGCGACACCACGUGACGGCGGCCAUCUUAGAGUCGCUAAACAAGAUGGCGGCGGCGAGGCGCCGUGUGCCGGGCUCCUCCGUUAGGCCUUAUUUCUAUAGCCGGGAGUUCGUUUUUAUAACGCUUUUUUCUUCAUUAUUUAAUAUUUUUUCUUCCGUUAUAACACAAAGUAGGUUAGUUUUCUUUUUUAUAAGGCAAUAAGCCCCAAAAUCGGGUUUCUGUGGUGGGAAUAACGUUAUUGCUGUUUAAUAAUUACAAUGAUUAACACUUAAAUCACUUUUAAGAUCGAAACGACACGUAAUUUGUCCAAAAAUACCAUAAAUAUUGUAAUUAUUUGGG